UUGCAGGAUACCCUGGCAGGGCUGAGAGCAGCCCUCAGCUGUUUUUAUCUUUCACCUUCUACAGCAGCAGAAGAGUAUUGCUAUGGCUGAGGAGAGCUGAGAACUGAGGAAGGAAACUGUGGUGCAUACAGCCCAAACAAAAACUCACAGCCCUGCACUGGAAUAUUCCUGAAACUGCUUUAGGGACUGGGAUAAGAAUCAGAGGGUUACUGUGAAACUCUGUUUUCCCCAUCAUCCACUAGUACCAAAGAGAAUCUGGUAGGGCAACUCCAGUGGAAUUACUCCUGGUUUACACUGAGGGUAACUGUCCCUGCCUGCCAGAAUACUCCAAAGCCCAGAGGAAAAUCUGAGAGUUGAGUGCCAGUGUCAUGGCUUGAACACGCUGCUGACUUCUCAGGGGAUCAGUUGAGGACACUGCUUCUCAGAACUGGGCAGCUCUGAAAUUCAUCCAGCAUCUCUGGGAAAGGGUGAAAGCAAGACAAUACCAGCGUAACGGAGAAGACUUACAUGAGCCAUCAACCUUAGGCAGGACCUGGAUGAUACCAGCAUAACUAGGAGCGUUUGUGUGCAUAGGAACCACAGAGUCAGACGUUCUUGUGAGAAGACGCUCAACAGCAUUGUCUUUAUGCUGAUGUCUUUUCAGAAAUAACAACUCUCCAAGCACAUAGAUAUGCUGGGAGAAGGUGCUGCAGAAACCAUAGUGUGGAGACAAAGGUGGAG